rnacentral:rRNA from 1 species
CUAUGACGUUAGCGGCGGACGGGUGAGAAACACGUGGGCAACCUGCCUGUAAGACUGGGAUAACUCCGGGAAACCGGAGCUAAUACCGGAUAACAUUUUCUCUUGCAUAAGAGAAAAUUGAAAGAUGGUUUCGGCUAUCACUUACAGAUGGGCCCGCGGUGCAUUAGCUAGUUGGUGAGGUAACGGCUCACCAAGGCAACGAUGCAUAGCCGACCUGAGAGGGUGAUCGGCCACACUGGGACUGAGACACGGCCCAGACUCCUACGGGAGGCAGCAGUAGGGAAUCUUCCGCAAUGGACGAAAGUCUGACGGAGCAACGCCGCGUGAGUGAUGAAGGCUUUCGGGUCGUAAAACUCUGUUGUUAGGGAAGAACAAGUACAAGAGUAACUGCUUGUACCUUGACGGUACCUAACCAGAAAGCCACGGCUAACUACGUGCCAGCAGCCGCGGUAAUACGUAGGUGGCAAGCGUUAUCCGGAAUUAUUGGGCGUAAAGCGCGCGCAGGCGGUUUCUUAAGUCUGAUGUGAAAGCCCACGGCUCAACCGUGGAGGGUCAUUGGAAACUGGGGAACUUGAGUGCAGAAGAGAAAAGCGGAAUUCCACGUGUAGCGGUGAAAUGCGUAGAGAUGUGGAGGAACACCAGUGGCGAAGGCGGCUUUUU